GAUGAAGAACGUAGCGAAAUGCGAUAAGUAAUGUGAAUUGCAGAAUUCAGUGAAUCAUCGAAUCUUUGAACGCACAUUGCGCCCGCCAGUAUUCUGGCGGGCAUGCCUGUUCGAGCGUCAUUACAACCCUCAGGCCCCCGGGCCUGGCGUUGGGGAUCGGCGGAGCCCCCCGUGGGCACACGCCGUCCCCCAAAUGCAGUGGCGGUCCCGCCGCAGCUUCCAUCGCGUAGUAGCUAACACCUCGCGACUGGAGAGCGGCGCGGCCACGCCGUAAAACACCCAACUCUUCUGAAGUUGACCUCGAAUCAGGUAGGAAUACCCGCUGAACUUAAGCAUAUCAAUAAGGGAGGA
rnacentral:misc_RNA from 1 species